rnacentral:rRNA from 1 species
AUUGAACGCUGGCGGCAUGCCUUACACAUGCAAGUCGAACGGCAGCACGGGAGCAAUCCUGGUGGCGAGUGGCGAACGGGGGAGUAAUAUAUCGGAACGUGCCCAGUCGUGGGGGAUAACGCAGCGAAAGCUGUGCGAGUACCGCAUACCAUCUCAGGAUGAAAGCGGGGGAUCGCAAGCCCUCGCGCGAUUGGAGCGGCCGAUAUCAGGUUAGCUAGUUGGCGGUGUAAAAGCCCACCAAGGCGACGAUCUGUAGCUGGUCUGAGAGGACGACCAGCCACACUGGGACUGAGACACGGCCCAGACUCCUACGGGAGGCAGCAGGGGGGAAUUUUGGACAAUGGACGCAAGUCUGAUCGAGCCAUGCCGCGUGCGGGAAGAAGGCCUUCGGGUUGUAAACCGCUUUUGUCAGGGAAGAAACGGCUUUUUCUAAUACAGAGAGCUAAUGACGGUACCUGAAGAAUAAGCACCGGCUAACUACGUGCCAGCCGCCGCGGUAA